rnacentral:rRNA from 1 species
CUCAGAUUGAACGCUGGCGGCAGGCUUAACACAUGCAAGUCGAGCGGAGCGAGGGUGCUUGCACCUUAGCUUAGCGGCGGACGGGUGAGUAAUGCUUAGGAAUCUGCCUAUUAGUGGGGGACAACAUUCCGAAAGGAAUGCUAAUACCGCAUACGCCCUACGGGGGAAAGCAGGGGAUCUUCGGACCUUGCGCUAAUAGAUGAGCCUAAGUCGGAUUAGCUAGUUGGUGGGGUAAAGGCCUACCAAGGCGACGAUCUGUAGCGGGUCUGAGAGGAUGAUC